rnacentral:rRNA from 1 species
GUCUCUCUUGAGUGGAUCCUGAGUACGACGGAGCACGUGAAAUUCCGUCGGAAUCUGGGAGGACCAUCUCCUAAGGCUAAAUACUCUCUAGUGACCGAUAGUGAACCAGUACCGUGAGGGAAAGGUGAAAAGCACCCCGGAAGGGGAGUGAAAUAGAACCUGAAACCGUGUGCUUACAAGUAGUCAGAGCCCGUUAAUGGGUGAUGGCGUGCCUUUUGUAGAAUGAACCGGCGAGUUACGAUUUGAUGCAAGGUUAAGCAGUAAAUGUGGAGCCGUAGCGAAAGCGAGUCUGAAUAGGGCGUUUAGUAUUUGGUCGUAGACCCGAAACCAGGUGAUCUACCCUUGGUCAGGUUGAAGUUCAGGUAACACUGAAUGGAGGACCGAACCGACUUACGUUGAAAAGUGAGCGGAUGAACUGAGGGUAGCGGAGAAAUUCCAAUCGAACCUGGAGAUAGCUGGUUCUCUCCGAAAUAGCUUUAGGGCUAGCCUCAAGUGAUGAUUAUUGGAGGUAGAGCACUGUUUGGACGAGGGGCCCCUCUCGGGUUACCGAAUUCAGACAAACUCCGAAUGCCAAUUAAUUUAACUUGGGAGUCAGAACAUGGGUGAUAAGGUCCGUGUUCGAAAGGGAAACAGCCCAGACCACCAGCUAAGGUCCCAAAAUAUAUGUUAAGUGGAAAAGGAUGUGGCGUUGCCCAGACAACUAGGAUGUUGGCUUAGAAGCAGCCAUCAUUUAAAGAGUGCGU